rnacentral:rRNA from 1 species
GACGAACGCUGGCGGCGUGCUUAACACAUGCAAGUCGAACGGAAAGGCCCUGCUUUUGUUGGGUGCUCGAUUGGCGAACGGGUGAGUAACACGUGAGUAACCUGCCCUUGACUUUGGGAUAACUUCAGGAAACUGGGGCUAAUACCGGAUAGGAGCUCCUGCUGCAUGGUGGGGGUUGGAAAGUUUCGGCGGUUGGGGAUGGACUCGCGGCUUAUCAGCUUGUUGGUGGGGUAGUGGCUUACCAAGGCUUUGACGGGUAGCCGGCCUGAGAGGGUGACCGGCCACCUUGGGACUGAGGUACGGCCCAGACGCCUACGGGAGGCAGCAGGGGGGAAUCUUGCACAAUGGGCGGAAGCCUGAUGCAGAAACGCCGCGUGCGGGAUGACGGCCUUCGGGUUGUAAACCGAUUUCGCCUGUGACGAAGAGUGAGUGACGGUAAUGGGUAAAGAAGCAACGGCUAACUACGUG